rnacentral:rRNA from 1 species
UACGUAGGGUGCAAGCGUUAAUCGGAAUUACUGGGCGUAAAGCGUGCGCAGGCGGUUUCGUAAGUCUGUCGUGAAAUCCCCGGGCUUAACCUUGGAAUGGCGAUGGAGACUGCGAGGCUAGAGUUUGGCAGAGGGGGGUAGAAUUCCACGUGUAGCAGUGAAAUGCGUAGAGAUGUGGAGGAACACCGAUGGCGAAGGCAGCCCCCUGGGUCAAAACUGACGCUCAUGCACGAAAGCGUGGGGAGCAAACAGG